GUGCACCAGGCGAGAAACCUCCGCAAUACACGAAAGUGUGACGGGGCCAUCCCGAGUGCCGUCCGCUGAGGACGGCUUUUCCCCAGUGUACACAGCUGGGGGAAUAAGGAGAGGGCAAGCCUGGUGUCAGCCGCCGCGGUAAUACCAGCUCUCCGAGUGGUGGGGACGCUUAUUGGGCCUAAAGCAUCCGUAGUCGGCUGGGCAAGUCCUCCGUUAAAUCCAACGAUUCAAUCGUUGGGCUGCGGGGGAUACUGUCCAGCUUGGGGGCGGGAGAGGCCGACGGUAUUCCCGGGGUAGGGGUGAAAUCCUAUAAUCCCGGGAGGACCACCAGUGGCGAAGGCUGUCGGCUAGAACGCGCCCGACGGUGAGGGAUGAAAGCUGGGGGAGCGAACCGGAUUAGAUACCGUGUAGU
rnacentral:rRNA from 1 species